rnacentral:rRNA from 1 species
AUUGAACGCUGGCGGCAUGCUUUAUACAUGCAAGUCGAACGGUAACAGGUUAAGCUGACGAGUGGCGAACGGGUGAGUAAUGCAUCGGAACGUGCCCGGUCGUGGGGGAUAACGCAGCGAAAGCUGCGCUAAUACCGCAUACGGUCUGAGGAUGAAAGCGGGGGACCGUAAGGCCUCGCGCGAUCGGAGCGGCCGAUGUCAGAUUAGGUAGUUGGUGAGGUAAAGGCUCACCAAGCCAACGAUCUGUAGCUGGUCUGAGAGGACGACCAGCCACACUGGGACUGAGACACGGCCCAGACUCCUACGGGAGGCAGCAGUGGGGAAUUUUGGACAAUGGGCGAAAGCCUGAUCCAGCAAUGCCGCGUGCAGGAAGAAGGCCUUCGGGUUGUAAACUGCUUUUGUACGGAGCGAAAAGGCUCUCUCUAAUACAGGGGGCUCAUGACGGUACCGUAAGAAUAAGCACCGGCUAACUACGUGCCAGCAGCCGCAGUAA